CACUGUGAUCUCAUUGUCAGCAGUACCUUAGCAGCACGUAAAUAUUGGCGUUAAGACUCUAAAAGUAUCUCCAGUAUUGACUGUGCUGCUGAAGUAAGGCUGACUACUCUCUACAACUGACAAUCAAAAGUG
rnacentral:pre_miRNA from 1 species